AGGACGAAUGAGAAUAAGUGAAUCUUAAGAGGAGAUUGUUAGCCGUUUAAUAGUAGCAAAAAUUUCAAAAUGUCCUCCGUGUUAUAUUAUAUUUGUAAGUCGUAGUCGGAAUGGAUUACGUGACAUAAAAUAUAAAGUAUUUGACUUUUAAUAUUAAAAUCAUUAAAAUAAAUAAAUACCUAUGAGAAAUUAUAGUAAUCGCAUUCUAAUUUUGAACCAAGCUAUAUAAAUGCAAUAUUAUGUAUACAAGUACUGCGCAUAUACGAAUAGUAUAUAUUUAUGUACUAUAUAAUAAUAUAUCACCGCUGACCUUUCCUCAAAUUUAAACGAUUUUCCGAAUAUACGUCAUGUUGCACACGUAUGUAGAUAAUAACUAAUAACUAUAAUAAAGUUUAAAUUCGACACGCCAGUGAAAUUUGUCUGCAAUAAACACGCGAGUUUAAAAUAUAAAAUAUCGAAAAUAAUGAUUCAACAGCGAUGACUGAACAUUUGAAUUACAAGCAGGACCGACGAAAGUCCAACUCGUUUUCGAACCUAUAAUUACAAUUAUUAUGAUAAUUAUUCUUUGGGAACAAUUUGUUUGGGCACUACGACUACGUUAUAUACAUAAUAUUAUUAUAAUUGGCACAGGAAAAAUCGCGAUGUAGUACGUACAUUGUGUUUCGAAUGUUUCGAUACACAUUAUCUACACGUCUUGUAAAGAUUUCAUAGUUACCUAGGUAUGUGCAUGAACUUUCAGACAUUUAUAAUAUUAUUUGAACUAUACAGGAAGUGGAAAACGAAUGGCUUUGAAUUUAAAUAUACCCAUGUUUUAAAAUGUUAUCAUAUUACUUUCAACAACUUCUAAUGUAAUCUGAACCUCUAUACGAUAAUAAUAUUGUGGUUUUGAAAUUCAUUUAAUCGGAACGACGAUAAAUAAUAUUUAAAACGUUGGAAAAUAUC